AGCGAACGCUGGCGGCAGGCUUAACACAUGCAAGUCGAGCGCCCCGCAAGGGGAGCGGCAGACGGGAGAGUAACACGUGGGAACAUACCUUUUGGUUCGGAACAACUGAGGGAAACUUCAGCUAAUACCGGAUAAGCCCUUACGGGGAAAGAUUUAUCGCCGAAAGAUUGGCCCGCGUCUGAUUAGCUAGUUGGUGAGGUAACGGCUCACCAAGGCGACGAUCAGUAGCUGGUCUGAGUGGAUGAUCAGCCUCACUGGGACUGAGACACGGCCCAGACUCCUACGGGAGGCAGCAGUGGGGAAUAUUGGACAAUGGGGGCAACCCUGAUCCAGCCAUGCCGCGUGAGUGAUGAAGGCCUUAGGGUUGUAAAGCUCUUUUGCCCGGGAAGAUAAUGACGGUACCGGGAGAAUAAGCCCCGGCUAACUUCGUG
rnacentral:rRNA from 1 species